rnacentral:rRNA from 1 species
UUUAUGGAGAGUUUGAUCCUGGCUCAGGAUGAACGCUGGCGGCGUGCCUAAUACAUGCAAGUCGAGCGAACGGACGAGAAGCUUGCUUCUCUGAUGUUAGCGGCGGACGGGUGAGUAACACGUGGAUAACCUACCUAUAAGACUGGGAUAACUUCGGGAAACCGGAGCUAAUACCGGAUAAUAUUUUGAACCGCAUGGUUCAAAAGUGAAAGACGGUCUUGCUGUCACUUAUAGAUGGAUCCGCGCUGCAUUAGCUAGUUGGUAAGGUAACGGCUUACCAAGGCAACGAUGCAUAGCCGACCUGAGAGGGUGAUCGGCCACACUGGAACUGAGACACGGUCCAGACUCCUACGGGAGGCAGCAGUAGGGAAUCUUCCGCAAUGGGCGAAAGCCUGACGGAGCAACGCCGCGUGAGUGAUGAAGGCCUUUGGAUCGUAAAACUCUGUUAUUAGGGAAGAACAUAUGUGUAAGUAACUGUGCACAUCUUGACGGUACCUAAUCAGAAAGCCACGGCUAACUACGUGCCAGCAGCCGCGGUAAUACGUAGGUGGCAAGCGUUAUCCGGAAUUAUUGGGCGUAAAGCGCGCGUAGGCGGUUUUUUAAGUCUGAUGUGAAAGCCCACGGCUCAACCGUGGAGGGUCAUUGGAAACUGGAAAACUUGAGUGCAGAAGAGGAAAGUGGAAUUCCAUGUGUAGCGGUGAAAUGCGCAGAGAUAUGGAGGAACACCAGUGGCGAAGGCGACUUUCUGGUCUGUAACUGACGCUGAUGUGCGAAAGCGUGGGGAUCAAACAGGAUUAGAUACCCUGGUAGUCCACGCCGUAAACGAUGAGUGCUAAGUGUUAGGGGGUUUCCGCCCCUUAGUGCUGCAGCUAACGCAUUAAGCACUCCGCCUGGGGAGUACGACCGCAAGGUUGAAACUCAAAGGAAUUGACGGGGACCCGCACAAGCGGUGGAGCAUGUGGUUUAAUUCGAAGCAACGCGAAGAACCUUACCAAAUCUUGACAUCCUUUGACAACUCUAGAGAUAGAGCCUUCCCCUUCGGGGGACAAAGUGACAGGUGGUGCAUGGUUGUCGUCAGCUCGUGUCGUGAGAUGUUGGGUUAAGUCCCGCAACGAGCGCAACCCUUAAGCUUAGUUGCCAUCAUUAAGUUGGGCACUCUAAGUUGACUGCCGGUGACAAACCGGAGGAAGGUGGGGAUGACGUCAAAUCAUCAUGCCCCUUAUGAUUUGGGCUACACACGUGCUACAAUGGACAAUACAAAGGGCAGCGAAACCGCGAGGUCAAGCAAAUCCCAUAAAGUUGUUCUCAGUUCGGAUUGUAGUCUGCAACUCGACUACAUGAAGCUGGAAUCGCUAGUAAUCGUAGAUCAGCAUGCUACGGUGAAUACGUUCCCGGGUCUUGUACACACCGCCCGUCACACCACGAGAGUUUGUAACACCCGAAGCCGGUGGAGUAACCUUUUAGGAGCUAGCCGUCGAAGGUGGGACAAAUGAUUGGGGUGAAGUCGUAACAAGGUAGCCGUAUCGGAAGGUGCGGCUGGAUCACCUCCUUU